UCUUCAAUAGCUCAGUGGUAGAGCGUACGACUGUUAAUCGUUUGGUCGUAGGUUCAAAUCCUACUUGUAGAG
rnacentral:tRNA from 1 species